CCAGACCACCAGCUAAGGUCCCAAAAUAUAUGUUAAGUGGAAAAGGAUGUGGCGUUGCCCAGACAACUAGGAUGUUGGCUUAGAAGCAGCCAUCAUUUAAAGAGUGCGUAAUAGCUCACUAGUCGAGUGACACUGCGCCGAAAAUGUACCGGGGCUAAACAUAUUACCGAAGCUGUGGAUUGUCCUUUGGACAAUGGUAGGAGAGCGUUCUAAGGGCGUUGAAGCAUGAUCGCAAGGACAUGUGGAGCGCUUAGAAGUGAGAAUGCCGGUGUGAGUAGCGAAAGACGGGUGAGAAUCCCGUCCACCGAUUGACUAAGGUUUCCAGAGGAAGGCUCGUCCGCUCUGGGUUAGUCGGGUCCUAAGCUGAGGCCGACAGGCGUAGGCGAUGGAUAACAGGUUGAUAUUCCUGUACCACCUAUAAUCGUUUUAAUCGAUGGGGGGACGCAGUAGGAUAGGCGAAGCGUGCGAUUGGAUUGCACGUCUAAGCAGUAAGGCUGAGUAUUAGGCAAAUCCGGUACUCGUUAAGGCUGAGCUGUGAUGGGGAGAAGACAUUGUGUCUUCG
rnacentral:rRNA from 1 species